GCUCCAGUAGCUCAAGUGGUAGAGCACCGGUCUCCAAAACCGGAUGUUGCAGGUUCGACUCCUGCCUGGAGUGCCA
rnacentral:tRNA from 1 species